UUCGCAAUGCCCGAAAGGGUGACGAAGCGACGCCGCGUGCGGGAAGAAGGCCUUCGGGUUGUAAACCGCUGUCGGGAGUUAAGAAAUGCAAGGGUGUUAACAGCAUCCUUGCUUAACUAAGGCUCCGGAGGAAGCCACGGCUAACUCUGUGCCAGCAGCCGCGGUAAUACAGAGGCGGCAAGCGUUGUUCGGAAUUAUUGGGCGUAAAGAGCACGUAGGCGGCUGUGUAAGUCGGUUGUGAAAGCCUUCCGCUCAACGGGAGAACGGCAUCCGAUACUGCAUGGCUUGAGUGCGGGAGGGGAGAGUGGAACUUCUGGUGGAGCGGUGAAAUGCGUAGAUAUCAGAAGGAACACCGGCGGCGAAGGCGACUCUCUGGCCCGUAACUGACGCUGAGUGUGCGAAAGCUAGGGGAGCAAACGGGAUUAGAUACCCCGGUAGUCCUAGCCGUAAACGAUGGGCACUAAGUAGAGGGGUUUU
rnacentral:rRNA from 1 species